UUUCACGGUUAUGUUCGAAGU
rnacentral:misc_RNA from 1 species